GUGGAGGCCGGAGGCGGCCUCGUGGCGCCCGGCGGGAGCCUCCGCCUCUCCUGCAAGGCCUCCGGCUUCACCUUCAGCAGCUUCUCCAUGAACUGGUUCCGACAGCCGCCCGGGAAGCAGCCCGAAUGGGUCGCGAGUAUUCGCAGCGAUGGUAGUUACACCGAAUACGCGGACGCCGUGCGGGUCCAUGUCACCGUGUGCAGGGACAACGGGCAGAGCAGCCUCUACCUGCAGAUGAGCAGCCUCAAGSUGGAGGACACGGCCACCUACUACUGCACCAAGGCCAUCGCUCUGCCCUCGUGGCCCUCCUGGAGGCCUCCCAGGGCCACCAGCACGUGGCAGCACCUGGGGCCUCUCCAUCGCUCCCUGGUGGCCAAACCCACCGAAAACACCCCGAUUUUGGUGCAAACCCCCCGGGACGGGGACGGGCUGGCGCCUUGGGUGGUGCAGCGGGGUACCCCAAGAUGA